UACGGAGGGUGCAAGCGUUAUCCGGAUUUAUUGGGUUUAAAGGGUCCGUAGGCGGAUCUGUAAGUCAGUGGUGAAAUCUCACAGCUUAACUGUGAAACUGCCAUUGAUACUGCAGGUCUUGAGUAAAUUUGAAGUGGCUGGAAUAAGUAGUGUAGCGGUGAAAUGCAUAGAUAUUACUUAGAACACCAAUUGCGAAGGCAGGUCACUAAGAUUUAACUGACGCUGAUGGACGAAAGCGUGGGGAGCGAACAGG
rnacentral:rRNA from 2 species